ACAAUUUCAAGAGUUUUAGAGCCCAAUUCGGAUUAGUUCAUUAAGCCUAGGGACCCUUCUAGACUCUUCUUUGGCACCAAAAACAAAUAAAAAAGACCCUAAGGACUUAACACAAAAAAACCUAGGGACUAAUUGGAAAAUACACAAAAAUAAUAACCUAAACCUAGACUCUACAUAAAGAGAACACCUAAAAAAUCUGAAGGGAUGGGGCAGGACGCCUGUAAAUGAGCUAGCCAACAAAUGAAACCAGCCAUUGUUUCUGAUUUGGAGAACACCCCUAGUCAGCCGCAACACCCAUAGAAUUAUCGAGGACUCCAUCGUCAAUGUCUUUGAAUUUUAAAGAAAAACCAUAAUAAUUUUUCCAUCACUUUUAUUUCAUGCUAAAAUCACCCAAAAAACUCCACAUCUGCCAACUCCCCCAAACCUUAAACCCACUUCUAAAUCCCUUUCCAUCCUGUCAACCUCAACUCACCCCACAAAUAGAUAAACACACACAUAGAGCAACAAAAAAGUGACAAAAUUGAAGGGAAUUAAGAACUAACAAAUAAAGGAACGGACACUACCUAGCUGCAAAGAACAGGGAACGAAGCAGAGAGGGAAGUGAGGAUGGAUGAAAUUUGAUUUCAAGAGAAUGGAUAUUGUAAAAUAUUUAGAUCUAUCCUACUUCACUCUUUCACUGAUGGUCAAAAUCCUAGAAAACAUCACCUUAGCUUAGUGAGGAAAGCAGCAAAGAACAAUUCUUAUUCUCCAAAUUUGUACUGUUCAAACUUCACAGAGAAGGUGGGUUUUCGUUGAGUCGAGUUUUCCGUUGCCAUCGAGGUUCUUCGGUCCGGGUUUUCACUCAUAUACCCUUGCUGUAACUGGAAAGGCUGUCAAUCUUUGAGGUCAAUUUCCUACUCUAAUCUUAAAUUUCCUCUCUGUUUUCUCGUUUCUUAGCUUCGACGAUUAUGUUUGCCAUGUGAUUGUUCUGCUUGUUUCAUUGUUUGCUUAAAACGUUCUUAUAAGUCUAGAGAAUCUGAUGCAUAUUACUCUUGGCUCAUGUUGUUAUCUAACCUGUUGAGAAAUAGUGUUUGAUUUUAAAAUUGUGUAAAGGCUUUUCCUUUCAAAAGUUAAAAAAAUGAUUCUUCUUCGGAUAGAAUUUACUGGAGUAUAUAAUGAGCCAUAUGUUAUAUGAAUAUUGAUAAUAUAGUAAUCUCUUAAAAAACUUGGCCAUUUCUGAUGUCUAUAGUCUGCGCGCGCACAUUCACCCUUUGUGGUUGUGCAUCUCGUUAUGAAAUAUGGGAGCCAUCAUUAGUCGGGAUAAUUUGAACAUUCAAUGGAUUUAGUUUUGUAAUUCAAUUUUUUUUUAAAUAAAGAAUUCAUGGGAAUUAGGAGUUUGUAUAAUAAUGGAAAGAGAAGAUCAGGUCAUUAAUCUGGCCUUAACAAGAUAGUCAGUGCUUGGUUCUUUAAUAGGUAUUUUUCUCCGAAAAUAAUUACAAAAGCUAAGUCACAUUAUCUCUCCCAUAAUAAUCAUCCAUAAUUCAUGGCUUCAUGUUCAUCCCAAAUCUUAGGAAUACUCAAAUUGCGAAUGUCAUAGCUUGUUUUAGGCGCGAUUAAUAGUAAAUUGUCGUGACUAUGGGCACGGUUCCCAUGGCAUGGUCACGAUACAUAAAUAUCAAUUUGGGUGCGCAUUUAUGUGACCCAAACCUAAAUCUCAACAAUGUUAUAUAAAAUGUGUUGCGGACUACGGGUGCAUUUAUGUGACGUGGUUCAAGACAUAUUUUAAAUGACGUUGCAAUCUUCCUAAAAUGAAUAAAAGCGGUUAAAAAGUUAAAAUUGAACCAUAGGUUAAAACAUGUACUUAAAAUCAGUAAAUAGGCCAAAUAUAACAGUUGAGCGACCGUGCUAGAACCACGGAACUCGGGAAUGCCUAACACCUUUUCCCGGGUUAACAAAAUUCUUUACACGGAUUUCUGUAUUGGCGGACUGUAAAAUAGAGUCAAUCUUUCCUCGAUUCGAGAUUUAAAACCGGUGACUUGGGACACCAUAAAUUAUCCCAAGUGGAGACUCUGAUUUUAAACAAAUAACCCUGUUUCGAUUGUCACUUAAAUUGAAAAAAACUCCCUUAUACACCCUCUCAGGGUGUAGGUAAAAAGGAGGUGUGACAUGGGGCACUCCCGAUGUUAAAGGGUUUGGAUUCAAAAAAGUUCGUGCAAAAGCCUUUUCCGUAGAGUGCAGCUCCGAAGCCCAUUUCUAAGAAGCUCCGUAUGCUGGAUAUACCUAAAUAAAAUGGACCACCGAUCCUAAUGAACACAUCACUUCGUACACAUGCGAAAUAAAGGGAAAUGACUUAAAAGACGAUGAUAGCGAGUUUGUUUUGUUGAAAAUAUUUGGGGAAAUACUAUCAAAGGGAGCUUUGAUUUGGUAUCGCAGCUUGCCACCAAAUUCCAUCGACUCAUUUGCCAUGUUAGCAGAUUCUUUUAUGAAGGUACACGUCGGGGCCAUAAAGGUCGCAACAAGAAAAUUGGACAUUUUCAAGAUAAGACAAAGGGAUAACGAAAUGUUGAGGGAGUUUGUAUCCCAAAUUCAAAUAGAACGCAUGGAGUUGCCAUCGGUCACAGAUGAUUGGGCCGUUCAAGCUUUCACCCAAGGGUUGAACGAGCGGAGUUUGAUAGCAUCAUGACAGUUGAAACAAAAUUUGGUCGAGUAUCCAGCUAUAACUUGGGCCGAUAUGCACAAUCGAUAUCAAUCGAAGAUCAGGGUCGAGGAUGACCAAUUAGGAUCCCCUUCCGGUUCAGUACAUCCAAAUAGGUUGGCAGUUAAAAUCCCGAGGGACAUCGACAAGGAACCAAGGUCGAACAGAGAGUGAUAUCAACCAUAUACCGCAGAUCGAAGGAACAAUAGCUCGGGAAGCAAUCCCUCCCAGAAUGAUCGAAGAAACGAUCGAGGAUAAAAUUUUCGAGGGCUUAUAAGGAAAAGUGGUUUUGAAAAGCAUGUCGAUCCCGUAGAGGCAGCACACUCGCCAUUUGUUGAUCACGACAGGAAAUAUCUUUUACCCCCGAUUGCUUGGGGACUUUGUUCGGAGUACCUUCUGAGAUCUCUUCGGCCCGAGGGUAAAUCUCCGUGGCCAUCACCGGCCCAGCCGUCAUUGAAGCUUUGAUGCUCCCCCUCUAUCGAGAGACCAUCUCACAACCGGCGUCCUCCCCCUUCUCCUCUUCAUCUCGUAGCUUUUGGGCUACGCCAACAGAAAGUGUAGCAGAGUCGCCCAUCGGCUUACGAGCCCUGCUCUUAUUUGGCUCCGGGGUAUCAGAAGGUGAGGUCCUUCUCUUCUUCUUGUCCUUGGCCAAUUUGAGAACCACCUCUCCCCCAGGCGGGGCUGGCCUCAAUUCAGAAACAUCCCCGAGGCCUGCGUAGAAGGGAAUCAAAUAUGUAUGAAAGAAUUGUUUCAGAAAGGGACGUCGUAAGCAUACAUGAUAAACUUACCGUGAUUUUUAGCCUCCUAUUUACCCUUCGCCAGGUCAUGCCAGCCAAGCUCGGCGUAGGAGGAAGUUGCAGCCAGAUUCCAAACCCAGUCUUCGAGGUCAGGGACCGCGUGGGGCAUCCAGGAAACCGCUGCCUAACCCAUAAAAAUGUCACACAAAGCAAAAAAUAAAGCACGAAGAUUAAUGGCUAACACUUACGUUUGGGGUUCCACUUCUCGGGGAACGAUAGCUUCUCCUCGGGGAUAAGGUCAUAGGUCCUUACCCACACGAACCAGCUCAUCCAACCUCGGUCCUUGUCUUUAUCGAUACUUGUAAAAAAAGACUCUGAUGAUCGGCGUUGAAACUUGAUCAAUCCCCGGUAAAGUUUUGGUCGAUACAGUCGUAUAAGGUGGCUGAGAGUAAAUUCCAAUCCCUAAGCCUUACCAGAGAAGAAGCGGAGCAUAAUUACUAUGCGUCAUAAUAAGGGAUGCACCUGGCCUAGGGUAACCUGGUACAUCUUGCAAAAGUCAAUGGUAACUGGGUCAAGAGGACCCAAUGUGAAGAGGUAAGUGUAAACACUUAGAAACCUCUCCACAUGAGUGGUGAUGCUUUCCUCGGGGGUGGGGAUCUGUACCACGACCUCGGCCCCCAGUUGCAAUCUUCCUUCACAGCAUCGAGCUGUUUCGCCGUUACCGAGCAAAUAUACCUCGAUACGUGUUCACAUCGGCCAGGGACCGAUGGAGGGUUAUUGACUUUAAAGUCAUUUUUUAGAACACAAGGUUCAGGAACAAUCUCAUGAAUGAGCAGUUCCACCGGCGUUUUGUCACCGGUCAGCCGGGAAGAAGAAGAAGAAGAGACGUUCUCCUUUUGAGGGACGGCUUUGGAGGUUUUCGCCAUUGAUUCAGAUGAGAUGAAGCGGAAAGAAGUGGAGUUUGUCAUUUUUGGUCCUAAAAGAUUGAUCAACGGGCGGUGGAAGAGAAGAGAUGGAGAGAUGAAAAUACUUAGAGAAAUUGCUCAAGAUGGAAGUAAAGUUUGAUUCAAAUGAGAAACCUAUAUUUGUAGGUUCACGACGACGGUUCGAUACCGCUAGUGGCCGACCAUCACUAACAAGAUUUUAAUAUUUUGGGAAAACGAACCAACGGAAAGUUUCGGUCACCUCGAGCGCUUACGUCAUGGGGAUGACAUCAUCAUCGGGCCUCUAGAAAAUUUAGGUUCAAAUCGUUUCUUAUCAUUUUAUUCUAAGAAACGAGGGGACUAUCUGUAUACGGUGGAAAUUGGGGCUGCCCGAUUUCGUUCUUCGAUGGAAAAAGUGAUACCACGUCGGGAGGCCAGGACGCCGAGCUCGAGGUCGAAGCUCCUUUUCAAUAUCGAGGUCGAUAUCAUUUACCGAGGUCAGAAGAAGGCAUGCUUCGAGAUGAUACCAUUAUGAUUCAAUAACAGAAAGAGCGAGAUACCCGCAACGGGCCGGAGAUCACGGCGUAAAUUUCGGAAUGGAUUGGUCUUUGGCGGUUAGACAGCUGUCAAAUAUGAUUUCUUACUGUUAUUAGAAGUGUACCUUAUUUAGGACUCUUCUAUUAUAUAAAGGAGGAUCUCAUUCAUUUGUAACGACUAUUUUUUGCUGAUAAGAAAAUAUACGCACAUUAUCCUCUUGCUAUUUUACUUACUGUUCUUUAGAGUUGCUUUAUCAUUUAUUCCCAUCAGCAUACCUCGAGACUGUCAUAGGUCGAGGUCAAGAUUUUGCCUACACAUUGGUUUGAUCUAUCUUGUUCCUUAAUUUAUCUAUUUAGUUCCUUGUUUAUCAAUUGGCAUUGAAUUAAAUCACAUAUUCUUAAAACCACAAUACAAGUUUAAUUGUUACUCGAAUUUUAGGGUAAACAUCAUUAAUAACUUGUUGAUGCCUGUUAAUUAUAUUGCUCAAUAACACUGAAGACAUUAAUUCCCCCGUUGCCCUCUCUGUUACCAAGAAGUUUUCAUAUCCUAUUAUAGGUGACAUUCUGUUCGAAGAAAUUAGGGAGUAUCUCAAAGGAAGUGUCCCUCAUUGAUUAGGAAGAAAAAGGAAAAAAGGGAUUGGACUUGCACACCGCAAGGCAAAAUGGAAAAAAAAAAAUGACACUAUAUAGUCGGUGUAAAAAUAAUAGCUGAAAAAAUAUAUGUAUAUAUAUAUACACACACAAAAAUAAUAUACAAAAAUUAUACAAGUUUUAUACACUUUUUCGGCUACCAAAUGUAAAUAGUUUCUGGGGCGGGCUAAAAGUGAUAAUACCCCCAAAAUUUACAACUGGUAAUUGAAAAUUAGCCACAAUUUCAAAAGUAAUCGAAAUUUAGCAACUUUUCCAUAUGAAAAUAAAAUUUAAACAAAAACACCCUUUGAAAUCUAAAAAAAUUCCAGCAUAAUAUGCUCGAGUUCGAAUUUUUUACAUAUGAGAUUUCAGCAUUACAUGUUGGAAUUCAUAAUGUGCUAAACUUCCAACAUAAUAUGUUGGAAGUUUAUACGUAAGAGUUCCAUAAGCAAACAUAUUAUGCUGAAACUUUCUCUGUUUCAUCUUGGGUACUUUUGUCCAGAUUUUAUCUCCGCCUUAAAUAGUAACUAUUUUGCAAUAACUUUGCAUACACUAACUAUUUUUCAAUAACCACACAUAAAAAGGGCUAUGCCAUGCCAUUUUGACAGCAAAAUGGGUCGAAUUCAACACAACACACACCCCCCCCCCCCAAACAAGGUGCAAAAUAGACGUGAUUUUUUUAAUUUCAUUAUGCCUUACCUUGAAAUAGUUCACUAGCCAGGCUCAAGAGUAUGUCCUAUUUUCCAAAUGCAUUACUUUUAUGGUACAUGUUUUUCAAGGAAUGUAAAAAGUGAAGAACAUGUAGAUCACUUUUCCUUCCAGUGUUUUGUGGGUUCUUUGGAAGGAAAGAAACAAAGAUUUUCGAAGGAGAACUGAAUCUUUGUAUAAUCUGAAAUAUAUAGGUAUUUAUAACAACUAGCCAUGCGGUGCAAUCUCAAGAAUGUUUAAGAAAUACAUACUCUAAUUGACGUCACUACAGCUCAUCUGGCACAAAUUUUGUAAUCUCCCACCAAUAUCUUAAUGCUGGUUUCUGCUCAUUAAUAUAAAUUCUUCUGUUACUGAUUUUAAGAAGGUUAAGGUGAUAACAGAAUAAUACUAUAACAAUGAAAGAAGGUUCACAAUUAGCAAAAUCAACUAGAAUUUACAGGCCAGUCUCCUAGGAAGCAGCAGCUACUGCUUCUGUUGUUUUCUCCUUCUCUUUGACUGCUUUCUUCCAGUUUUCUGCACUAUCGAUGAUUUCCCCAGUUUUUAUGAGGUAGCGGACCCUUUUUCCAUUGUCUAGUGUUUUAUGACCCACCCGACUGGCAACCUUCUGCUCUUUCGAGUAAAGCAUCACGUUUGAGCUAUGAAUAGGAGCUUCAAUCUGAAAACGUUAACACAAAAAGUUACUUUCUUGGUAGGUCAAGGGUUUAUCCAAUGCUAGUCAAGACCAAACGAAAAGCUCAAGAACACAAUUUUCAGGCAAGUUAGAGAAGAGAGGAAUCAAAAUAAAACCUUGACUAUCUGGCCUGGUUCAUCCUCACUCCUACUCUUCACAUGCUUGGUUUUCAAGUUCACGUCUUUUACUACUACUUUGCUGUUGUGCUUGAUGAUCUCGGUGAUCUCCCCAACCUUACCUUUAUCAUGACCGGAUAUUACCUUUACUGUAUCUCCCAACUUAACAUGCAUUUUGUGUAGUACUGGAAGGCUGUUUGGCUUACACUCUUUCCGCUCCCAUCGCUUAAGCUGCAAAAUAGACAAAAAAGAUUGUUCUUAUUCAAUGAUAAAACUAAUUGUAAUCACGGAUACUGGUAUUUCAUCUACAGAAUAUCAUACUCCCGAUGCAAGUGAUAUAUCAGUUUCCUAACAAGUAACAAUUAGUCCCCAAGAUCAGCAAUAGAAAACAUGGAAAUUGUUAAAAACUGUUAAUGAUUUAGUUUAAGCACUUCCCUCAUUAGGUCAUAAGUUAUAAAAGAAGUGCAUGACCGCAUAGCGGUAACCCUAUAAAAGUAGCUGCAGCAAAAAAAUUCUUGGACACAAUUACACAAAUAUUAAAAGACCAGAAAAUGAACAAGAUACCAACCUUUGCUUGAAUCAGACAUGGACCUUCUGUUGAUUUGACCUGCAUAGUGUCAUAUGGAGAUCAUCAUUCAAGUGGUGAAAGAUUAUUCUAUGUUUGCUGUUUGAUGCAGCAAAAAUUGGCAAAUUGUGUAAAGCACGUAUGGUAACCAAAGAGGACAGGGUAGACAAUUGCAAUGAAGAGCAUUAGUGCAAUAAGAGCAACUGAGCAACUGCAUUUCCUGGAGACAAAUCUCAUUCCAUAUUUUGCUUUCUAUUGCUUAUGAUUUUACAGGCAUGUAUGCAACAAUUUUAUCACUGUUUGUGAUCCGUCAUGGUGAACAUGUCGGAAAGAUAGCAAAGAUAUGACAACAGUUGUAUUAUCGAAAUAAUACGUAAAUAAAAGAAAUGUUCCCUUAAAGACUCGUUUAAAAAUAAUAAUAAAUGGUACAGCAAAGUUUAUCAGCGGCAUAGCAUCUUAGCACAAGUGUUCAAGUAUAUACGCGCAACUUCUCCAAUCAGAUGCACACUGAAUCAAGAAGUAAUACAACUAGAAUGGUCGAGCAUGUUCUGUCGUCAUAUUUGACUUGGUACGUAGUUUAAGAUAUUAGUUUGAUUUAUAUAUUACAUUAGUGAUGAUAGAUAAAAAUAUCAAAGCAAUGGUUGAGAAGUUAGUUUAAUAGAGGAAACAUCAUACUAUCAAAGUAUAGAAGUGUUAAUCAUGUUAAUUUUUUUUAUAGUUAAAGCUGAAUAGUUAAAAAUAUUAGAUUCUUUAAAGUAGUGAAGGUAAUAUACAAAAAGAACGGUAGUAAACCUUUUGGAACUUUGGAAAAGGAAAGAGUGUCUGUCAUGGAAAUUGGAACUGAUGGAGUAAGUUUGAGUUAAUCAAUUAGCAUAUGCUUAAUACACUUUUAGACAUUUUUUUUCCAAAAGACAUUUUGAGUAAUCAUUGCAGGGGAGCUUAGGCGUCUUAACAUAGUAUUAAAAUUUUCACUUGCAGCUAGAUAUAUACUCGUCCAAACAUACUGAGCAAGAAAUAGACCAAAAUUUCAAAAGUUGGAACAGUGAAAACAUAUAAUUCGGCUAGCAAUGGUGACCACAAUGACAAUGGUAUGGAGACAAAUGUUAGAAAGUUAAGGUGUAAUCAAUUGAGAUGGAUACCAACUAUCCCUUAUCCAAAACAUUGAAGUCAAAAAGAGACCUUUCGUAAUAAAUUAAAUUAGGAGAAUAGAGAGUGAGGGAUAAAGAC
rnacentral:lncRNA from 1 species